AAAGAUACAGGUAGUAGAGAAGUUUAGAGAAGUACAGGAACGAAAAAAUGGAGAAGAGAAACGUUGUUGAGAUGAAGCGUAGAGAGAAGAGCAGAGAGACCGACUGGAAAGAAGUUCUACAGAAGACUUGAGGGUUGAAGAAAGGUAAGAGGAUAGACAGAGCGACAAUACGUCAAUAGCAAAGAUAGUCGUCAGCGAAUUCAAGGAAUGUGGAUCUGGUUGACAAGCUCCACCAUCAGGGCAAAGGAGUGGUAUGGCCUGUUCAGGACUUUGCUUGGGUGUCCUGAUUGGCUGCUUGCUUCUCUUCUGUCCCCUGUUGCUGACAAGCUGCAAUGGU